rnacentral:misc_RNA from 1 species
GAUGAAGAACGCAGCGAAAUGCGAUAAGUAAUGUGAAUUGCAGAAUUCAGUGAAUCAUCGAAUCUUUGAACGCACAUUGCGCCCGCUAGUAUUCUGGCGGGCAUGCCUGUUCGAGCGUCAUUUCAACCCUCAAGCUCUGCUUGGUGUUGGGAAUCGGCGUAGCGGCCUUCGGGCAGCUGCCGUUCCCUAAAUCUAGUGGCGGUCCCGCUGUAGCCUCCUCUGCGUAGUAGUUUUCUCCUCGCACCGGCAGCUUAGUGGUGACCUCGCCGUAAAACCCCCAACUUCUGAAAGGUUGACCUCGAAUCAGGUAGGAAUACCCGCUGAACUUAAGCAUAUCAAUAAGCGGAGGA